CACGAAUCUAAACCAACAUAGGCAAAUCUUGGAUGUCGGCAGGCCGCCUUUGUAGAUUUGCCCAAAGCCUCCGAUGCCGAGUAGAUUCUGUAGGUACAGAUGGUUGCAGGAGAACCUAUGAGCUCCGUCCUAGAAAUCAAAGCAAGAUUUGGUAGCUUAGAGAGAUGGAUCGACGACACCUUUUCUUCUGUUCCAUUUUACCCCAUACCUUUCAAAAAUUAAAGCGAUAUUUGGGAAUUGUCUGCAUGCCAAUCACAACAAAUCAAAUACAGGUAGCCUUAAACUAGACCUUCUCCCUCUUCCCUCCUCUCUCGGAUGAUGAGGGAAACCCCAUCGUCCCCUGCUCUCUUCCCUCCUCUUCGGGUUGCUUCCCCUAUGCAUCCUUCGGUUCCGGCUGUGGUUUCAUCGUUGGUCGCUCCUACCGCUCGAGGAAAGGCUCCAGAGAAGCGUGUCCCGGCUCCGGCCGCUGGCGCCCUUUCAUGGUCGCAGGUACUCUCUUCCUCCCUCCCUAGCCCUUUUGGGGAAAGUAACUUUGGCAUUUGAUUUUUAUUCCCAAGUAUUAAAGAUUUUCAUCAAAAUUUUUUUAUGCAAUGUUAAUUAUCAUAUUUUAUUUAAGAUCGUUAAAAGUUAUCUUUUAUUUUUUUUUUAUUUUUUUGGAGUAAUUUAAGUUCUUGUUACUUAAGAGCUUGUGCAUUCUUAUAUGAUUUUAAAAGAGAAAACCUUGUAUUAUGGUAAAAAUUAAUCUUGAAAAGGCUCAUGAUGAGUUUCUUGGGAGGCUAUUCUAAAAACCCUUGAUUUCAUGCGUUUUGCUCCUCUUUUUAAUAAAUGGAUUCUUAGUUGUGUUACUUCAUUGUCAUUCAUUUGUGUUAUUAAUGAUAUUAUCUCUAAUUCUUUUAAAAAGAGUAGGAGAACUUUUUAUCUUUUCAUUCUCAUAACUAUUUUUUUUUAAAUUGAUUAAAAAAGUUUGUGACAAGAAGUUGAUCUCACCAAUGUUUACUAGGGCUCUUAUAAGAUUUAUCAUCUCCUUUUUGUGAUGAUCUUCUCUUGUUCUUUAGGACCUUUGAGUAGCUCACCAAUCUCAAGAGCUUUCAUUCUGAUUGCUUUAUGGCUCAUUUGGAGGGCUAUGAAUGAUGCUAAAUUUUCGAAUAAAAAUCUCACACUUAAUAAUAUUGUAGACGCUGCUAUAGCUUUCUUGUGGGAUUUUGUUGAUAACAAAGAUUUUGAGAUGUAGUAGAGAAUGCCCUUAUGAGUUCAAUAGAAUCCACCAAAGCAAACAUGGCAUAAGUUCAAUACCGAUGACUCGGGUAUAGGUUUUCUCAUUAGGGAUAGUAAUGCAAUUCUUUUAUUUAUAGGUUACAAAUAUACUACUUGGAGGUUGAUAAUUUUCAAUAAUGCAAUUGCUUUCAAAGAAGUUAACAUUGGGUGCGAAAGAUUUUGAUAGAGUUAGAUUCAUUAGCUAUUUAUUGUGCAACAUAUCAACCAUCCUUUGGAGCUACCAUAGCAUUUAAGGAAUGUUAUUGAGAAUAUUUUAGAUUUUCCAAGUAUAAAUGAGGAGGAGUUUAAGUGAUACAUAUAUUUAGGGAGAGAAAUCACUUAGUAAAUUGGCUAGCGAAUUUAUUUUUGGAGGGAGGAUUUCCCUCCUGAUCUCAUCUGAUUGCUGCUUUGAUUACCUCAUAUGGUUUUGAUGAGGGCAAUAAAUGGCGAUAAGACUCGGACUGACGUCAACUGGCCAACACGAAGCUCACGCCUCGAUCAACCCGGCAGAGUCGGGUCAAACGAACCAGAACACAAGCCGAGGCCCAUUAACGACCGCUCAGGCUCGAUCCCUCACGCCACGCCAACAGCGAUGUCAGACGCCAUCAGAGGUAUGAUCCUGCUCCUUGCGGGCGGGCACAUCAGGUAACACUAAACUUCCCUAUAAAUACCCUCGCGUUCUAAACGCCCGGGGGGAGGAAAAAAGGGGAAAAGAGACAGGGGAAGACGAAGCUGUUUCUUCCCAACGCCGUAGAAUGGAACCCUUCCCCGCAGGACGCCCCCACGAGCUUCCACGUAACUCGAUCCCUGCAACCGGCCGCAUCAGCAACCCCCGAGGGACUCUGAGCAAGAUCCCCGUCAUUCGAACCUGAACUGAGCUGCGUCGGCCCCGAGGCCACGGCUCAAAAAUUGUUCACACCAAUAGUUUUCACUUUCUUUAAAAAAAGAAAAAAAUAAAUAAAAGUGGAGUCUUUAUUUCUUGAGGCUUACCAAAUCAUAAGAAUAAAAGCCGUUUAUGGAUUUAAAAGAGUCACAUAGGUAUGUUUACAACACAGCGACUGCUGCUACUGCUAUUCCACCCCAUGCAUAGACAAAGAAGGCGUCGUCUCCGAUAUGUUUCCAUCAAUCACAAAAACCACACACUCAGACGGGGUACAAGCAGCUCCCAUCGUCGCUCCUGGCCGUCGGAUCAAAGUUUGUGGCAAUCGGAUCAGUGCACCCUUCUGGAACUGGGACGCCCACCUGUUGAGCUGCUUUCCCUGCAUACGGGUAGUAAGCUUAACGCAUCAGCUAUGGCCGCAAAGCACCAUAUCUUUUGUACGUAAGAGACAGGAUGACAUAGAGAGUGCGAACCGUAGAACUGUCCCGUGUUAAUGGCGUCCUCAUUGGCGUCUCCCAGCGCGGCCUCGCUCAGGUACUUGUCGGCCAGCUGCACCCUCUUCACGUUCUCUUGCUCCUUCACCAGCAUGUUACCGUACUCCAUUAGCUUGGCGAGGCUCAUCUUGGGCUGGUCGAACGUCGGCGGUCCUUCCAGUGAGUUGACUAACUUCUUGUUCACGCUUUCAACCCCGAUCUCUGCAACCCAUUUCCUCACCUCAUCAUCAUACAC